GACGAACGCUGGCGGCGUGCCUAAUACAUGCAAGUCGAACGCAGUGGGGACGGGUGAGGAACACGUGGGUAACCUCCCAUCAGAGGGGAUAACACUUGGAAACAGGCGCUAAACCCAUACUGAUGGAUGGACCCGCGGUGCAUUAGCUAGUUGGUGGGGAAACGGAUCACCAAGGCCACGAUGCAUAGCCGGCCUGAGAGGGUGAUCGGCCACACUGGGACUGAGACACGGCCCAGACUCCUACGGGAGGCAGCAGUAGGGAAUCUUCGGCAAUGGACGAAAGUCUGACCGAGCAAGGCCGCGUGUGUGAAGAAGGUCUUCGGGUCGUAAAACUCUGUUGUUAGAGAAGCGGUAUCUGAACAGAAAGCCACGGCUAACUACGUGCCAGCAGCCGCGGUAAUUC
rnacentral:rRNA from 1 species